GUUAAGCGACUAAGCGUACACGGUGGAUGCCCUGGCAGUCAGAGGCGAUGAAGGACGUGCUAAUCUGCGAUAAGCGUCGGUAAGGUGAUAUGAACCGUUAUAACCGGCGAUUUCCGAAUGGGGAAACCCAGUGUGAUUCGUCACACUAUCAUUAACUGAAUCCAUAGGUUAAUGAGGCGAACCGGGGGAACUGAAACAUCUAAGUACCCCGAGGAAAAGAAAUCAACCGAGAUUCCCCCAGUAGCGGCGAGCGAACGGGGAGCAGCCCAGAGCCUGAAUCAGUGUGUGUGUUAGUGGAAGCGUCUGGAAAGGCGUGCGAUACAGGGUGACAGCCCCGUACACAAAAAUGCACAUACUGUGAGCUCGAUGAGUAGGGCGGGACACGUGGUAUCCUGUCUGAAUAUGGGGGGACCAUCCUCCAAGGCUAAAUACUCCUGACUGACCGAUAGUGAACCAGUACCGUGAGGGAAAGGCGAAAAGAACCCCGGCGAGGGGAGUGAAAAAGAACCUGAAACCGUGUACGUACAAGCAGUGGGAGCACGCUUAGGCGUGUGACUGCGUACCUUUUGU
rnacentral:rRNA from 2 species